GAUGAACGCUGGCGGCGUGCCUAAUACAUGCAAGUCGAGCGAAUGGAUUAAGAGCUUGCUCUUAUGAAGUUAGCGGCGGACGGGUGAGUAACACGUGGGUAACCUGCCCAUAAGACUGGGAUAACUCCGGGAAACCGGGGCUAAUACCGGAUAACAUUUUGAACCGCAUGGUUCGAAAUUGAAAGGCGGCUUCGGCUGUCACUUAUGGAUGGACCCGCGUCGCAUUAGCUAGUUGGUGAGGUAACGGCUCACCAAGGCAACGAUGCGUAGCCGACCUGGGAGGGUGAGCGGCCACACUGGGACUGAGACACGGCCCAGACUCCUACGGGAGGCAGCAGUAGGGAAUCUUCCGCAAUGGACGAAAGUCUGACGGAGCAACGCCGCGUGAGUGAUGAAGGCUUUCGGGUCGUAAAACUCUGCUGGUAGGGAAGAACAAGUGCUAGUUGAAUAAGCUGGCACCUUGACGGUACCUAACCAGAAAGCCACGGCUAACUACGUGCCAGCCGCCGCAGUAA
rnacentral:rRNA from 1 species